UAGGGAAUCUUCGGCAAUGGGGGCAACCCUGACCGAGCAACGCCGCGUGAGUGAAGAAGGUUUUCGGAUCGUAAAGCUCUGUUGUAAGAGAAGAACGUGUGUGAGAGUGGAAAGUUCACACAGUGACGGUAACUUACCAGAAAGGGACGGCUAACUACGUGCCAGCAGCCGCGGUAAUACGUAGGUCCCGAGCGUUGUCCGGAUUUAUUGGGCGUAAAGCGAGCGCAGGCGGUUUAAUAAGUCUGAAGUUAAAGGCAGUGGCUUAACCAUUGUUCGCUUUGGAAACUGUUAAAAUUGAGCGCAGAAGGGGAGAGUGGAAUUCCAUGUGUAGCGGUGAAAUGCGUAGAUAUAUGGAGGAACACCGGUGGCGAAAGCGGCUCUCUGGUCUGUAACUGACGCUGAGGCUCGAAAGCGUGGGGAGCAAACAGG
rnacentral:rRNA from 1 species